UCUAGACAACUUCUUUGUAACAGAUUGUCCACGUGACGUUUACAUAUUUAGACAUUGUCUUGUAACGAUCGGGAACGUUCGUUGAUCCCAUCAACACAGGAAGCACUUGGCGGUAGGCAACCUUCUAAAGACCAAACCGGAUCCCGUCCCUGAUCAUUAAAUGCUCUAGAUGCUUCUCUAGGGCGCUGAUUCCAGAGGACGUUUACCUAUGAAUGUUUUGUCAACAUAACCCUAGCUCCAGUUCGGCUGGGGCAUAUGCCAAAUAAAUGUCACGAUGCAUUUCAUUGAUAUUAUUUAUAGAUUAUUCUGGUCUUCUUUUAAAAAACAAGUUUUGGCAAUUAAUACAACGCAUAGAAUAUGUAUUCCAUACGUGGGGGUGUUUUGAAUCAAGAAAUCAAUAGCUAUCGAAGGAUGCCAUUUAACUCACGUGUACGAGAAUUCUGGUUAACACAUAUUUUGAGGCUAUUUAUAUUCAAUGUCAGAUUAUUUUGAGAUUCUUUGUUGUUUAUUCCGGAUUGAUCUUGGCUGAUGACCAAAUAAACACAAAGAAUUUCCACUAUAAAAAGAGGGAAUCGCGAGCACUGCUCCAGCAUUUAAAGAAAGGGCAACCUACAGAGCGAAGUUACAUCAACCUUACGAGGAAAUCAAGAAUCUUGUAAUUAAAUCGCAAUGGACCAGAGAGAGUACCGACACUACAUGAAAGGAGAGCCUCAUUUUCAUCCCGAGAAAAACAUAGUGAACGGAACAGAUGUGUGCAAAGGCGGAAAUCUGCAAGGGCAUCAGGGGAAGGUUCCCGUCGUUCAAAACCCAGUGCGCACGCGAUCGGACAGUGUGUGUUCUGAAAAUGAGGCUCCGCUGGUCGGAUCCCCACCCAUAGUGCCACACCUUGGAUCCGCCUUUGCCUCUCAGAUGUCUCCGCCCUCUACCGGCGGAGUUUUAUCAAGAGCGUUUCAAUUGGAUACAACGCCUAAGGAAAAGCGUUUGUUCCACGAGUUUGACAUUAAAUGGCAGUAGGUUCUUCUAUACAAAACAAUCAAGUGAUCUCAAUCUUUAAUAUAAUAUUGCAUGUAUUUGUGAAAAAAAAGAAAAGAUAGAUGAAUGACCGCGGAAUCAAAGCCGUAAGGAAGUGACUGACAGAGUUUGAAAAUUUGUGCAUUGAAUGUUUCAUGAAUGUAUUUUGAAAGUAUGUGAGAAUGGAAAAAAAAAUCUGACGAGUACAUGUAAAAACUGAUUUACCAAUAAAAUAUAUAUAAAACAGA